rnacentral:lncRNA from 1 species
UUUUGGGAAUUUUAGGGUAAAAUCUCGGGAAUGUUUGCAUUGAAAUUUGGGAUUUUUAGGGUUAAAAUUUGGGAUUUUUUGCUUUAAAAUUUGGGAAUUUUGGGGAUAAAAUUUGGGAUUUUUGGGAUGGAAUUUUGGGAAUUUUAAUGUAAAAUUUGGGGAAUUUUUGCAUUAAAAUUUGGGAAUUUUGGGGUUAAAAUUUGGGAUUUUUGGGAAAAAAAAUGGGAAUUUUGGGUUGGAAUUUUGGGGUGGAAUUUUGGGAAUUUGAAGGUAAAAUUUGGGGAUUUUUGGGGUAAAAUUUUGGGAUUUUUGGUGGGAAAAAAUUGGAAUUUUGGGUUGGAAUAUUUGGAGGAAAUUCCAGAAUUUUUUGGGGUUAAAAUUUGGGGAUUUUUUCUCAAAAAUUUUGACAAUUUUGGGGAAAAAUUCUGAAUUUUUUGGGUUAAAAAUUGAGAAUUUUGGGAUUCCUGACUCCGCCCCCUUUUUGUUGCCCCUCCCCCCUUUCAGACGGGCGCCCCUCCCCCCUCUGGCGGGGGCAGCUGCGGAGGAUCCGCGAGAACCGAGAGCUGGCGCGCCGCGCCGUCGCCCUGAGCCGCUCCCUGGACGCCGCCAAGCUCCCAGUACAAACCAGUACGGACCAGUAUGGACCAGUAUAAACCAGUAUGGAGCAGGUGAGU